rnacentral:rRNA from 1 species
CCUACGGGAGGCAGCAGUGGGGAAUAUUGGACAAUGGGCGAAAGCCUGAUCCAGCAAUGCCGCGUGAGUGAUGAAGGCCUUAGGGUUGUAAAGCUCUUUUACCCGGGAUGAUAAUGACAGUACCGGGAGAAUAAGCUCCGGCUAACUCCGUGCCAGCAGCCGCGGUAAUACGGAGGGAGCUAGCGUUAUUCGGAAUUACUGGGCGUAAAGCGCACGUAGGCGGCUUUGUAAGUAAGAGGUGAAAGCCUGGUGCUCAACACCAGAACUGCCUUUUAGACUGCAUCGCUUGAAUCCAGGAGAGGUGAGUGGAAUUCCGAGUGUAGAGGUGAAAUUCGUAGAUAUUCGGAAGAACACCAGUGGCGAAGGCGGCUCACUGGACUGGUAUUGACGCUGAGGUGCGAAAGCGUGGGGAGCAAACAGGAUUAGAUACCCGUGGUAGUCCACGCCGUAAACGAUGAUAACUAGCUGUCGGGGUUCUUAGAACUUCGGUGGCGCAGCUAACGCAUUAGUUAUCCGCCUGGGGAUACGGCCGCAAGGUUAAACUCAAGGAUUGACG